GGACCAGAAAUGUUUCUCCGUUAGAAUGAGUUCCUCCUUUCUAGGUCACACCUGUAGGAACUUCCUCUGGUGACAAGCAUCUGAGUGCUAAACGCCCUUAUUGGUGAGACCAGUACUGGGUAUCUUGUGCUGAGAGAGCCUUCUCGCCAUCUAGGGUCCUUCAGUAUGUCUGCGUUCUUGCAGAACCUUAUCUACUAAGUGAAUGAAGGAUUCUGCCACUUACCAAUAGCUCCACUGGCCAUAAAAUCAGGAGAAUCCUAUAUUCAUUGUGAGAUUCCUUCCCUCUAAGAUGUGGCAUCUGAUGUCAAGAAGCUUUAAAUGGGGCAAGAAGACACUUACCUAAAUUAAAAUAACCCAAUGAAGAAAGAGGGGGAAGCUAGAUGAGGAUAAAUGUGCACUAUGAAAUUAUUUAUCCUCCUCAUGACUCAACUGUGAAUUAGUAUUAAAGCAUGAGGUUUUAAAAUCCAUUUGUUUUCUUAGGUCCUUGUGCUGCCAUUCAUAAGCUUUUCAAUAUAGGUAAUUUAUGGCUUUAACUUGCAUCACUGUAAAGUGAUCAUUGCACCCCCACCUAAAGUUAUUGGUGAAUCACAUCUCUCAUCUAGUACAAUGCCGGACGUAUAAUCGUCUCUUGAAAAUAGAAGCAAUUAGAACACAACAUGAAUGGGUUAGGGACUUUUAUGUGUGUUUUUCCCCUCCCCAAAGGAGAGGUUAAAGUCAUACAGCAUUGGGAGUUCCCAUCAUGGCUCAGUGGUAAUGCACCCAACUAGUAUCCAGGAGGAUGUGGGUUCCAUCCUUGGCCUUGCUCAGUGGGUUAAGGAUCCAGCAUUGCCAUGAACAGUGGUGUGGGUCACAGACACAGCUUGGAUCUGGCUUUGCUGUGGCUGUAGUUAGGCCAGCAGCUGAAGCUCUGAUUCGACCCCUAGCCUGGGAACUUCCAUAUGCCAUGGGUGUGCCCCCCCCAAAAAAAAUCACACAGUAUAAUGUCCAGGUAUUUGUAGGAUGAUCAUUAAGUGUCCAGAAUAUUUUACAAAUUUCAUGAAGCAACUACAUCUAUUAGGAAUCACUAGGCUUUUACAGCUGAAAUCUGUUUUCUUUAUUUUUGAUUAUUUAAAAAAUUAUUUUAUUGGGGUAUAGUUGAUUUACAAUGUUGAAUUAGCUUCAGGUUUCCAUCAAAAUGAAUCAGUUAUAUAUAUAUGUAUAUCUCCAUUCUUUUUUCCCACAUGAGUUAUUACAGAACAUUGAUUAGAUCCCCUGAGUGGUAUGGUAGGUCAUUGUUAGAUACCUGUUUUGUAUACAGUUGUGUGUAUGUGUUAUCUAAUCCUCCCACUUUAUCCCUCCCCACCAUGGCUGCCUCUUUGGUAACCAUAAGUUUGAUUUCAAAGUCUGUUUCUGCUUUAUAAGUAAGUUAUUUUGUACCAUUUUUAUUAUAGUCCACAUAUAAGUGCUAUCAUAUAUUUGUCUUUGACUUAAUAUGAUAAUCUCUCCUUUUGAUUCUUAGAAAUAAAUUCUAAAGAUCAUGAUUUUUUGGUUUUCAAUGAUUUUGUAACUAUUUCUGCCAUCCAUAAUGCCAUCUUAAAAUAAAUGAAAUAAACAUUAAUGAAAUAAUAAACAUAUAGAUAAAUGCAUAGAUGAUAGUUGUGGCUGUAUAAUUGGAGACAGUUAAAUUCCCCAUGCUUUAUAACAUCUCCGUCUUGUGAUAAAACAAUGAGAACAAAAAAUGGAAUUAGUAAUAAGAAAGAAGAACUGUACCAAAAUUGUUUUAAGCUCAGGAUGGCAUAAUAAUGCGCUUAUUCAAAAGAAAGCCAUGUUUAUAUUGUUUAUAAAAAAAUUCUAAGAUAGACAAUAAAGUAGGGGGGAAAAAUUCUUGUUUCUCCACAGAAAAUCUCUUCUGGUUGUUGAAAUGUUAAAUUCUCUAGAGCCUAAGGAAGUGACUCUUCUAUGAUAAAGAAACCAGGGCUAUAGGAGGCUUAUUAUAUUGUUGGUUUUAGUCCAACAAUGACUUAUUCUUGCAAGUUAUUAGCGUGUUUCUGCUCUGCUAAAUUGAGAAUCUAUUAAAAUGAUCUGUGGUUUUUUUUAGUUUUGCCAAAGCAUCAGGGUUAUAGAGGAAAGUACAUAAGUUUAUAAAAUGUUAAAUAAAAGAUCAUAGACUUGAGUUUCUAGUUAAAGACAAGCUAAUUUGAUUUAAAAUUAGGAAAGCUUGAGCUUCACACUUGGAAUUCUUAGCAAAAUCAUGCACUUUAUGUGGGAAGUUCACAUUUUGAUAAGAAAUUUUGUCUUGAAUUGGGGUGAAAAAAUGGGAAACCAUUUAGGGAAACCAUCUGCUGCCAAAAUGGAAUAGAAAGAGAUGAGUUUCUUUUUUAUAGCCUUGGCUUCUAAAUGGCAGGUAGUUUUUGCAUCAUUUGCCUGGGAACCAUUCCCUUAAUUCUCAUUGGAUUCCCAUUUAAAGCUGCUUUUCAUAUUACAUGAAAUUUUAUCACUGGUGAUGAGAAUCCAGUAGCAGAAUUGGGAUGGAUGAAAAUUAUUUGUAAUAUGAAAAUGUUAUUUCCUCACUUGGAAUGACCACCUCUCCCUCUAACCAAUUUCUAUUAAUAUUUUAAGAGUCUGCUCUCUUGCUUAUCCUCUUGGAAUUAUUUCCACGGCUUUUCUUAUUCCCAGUGAAUUCCUAUGGUGGACUCUGUUCUAACAAAUUAAGUCUCUGGUUUUGUGUUAAACACAGUUCUAACUUGAAAUCUCAAGGGUAACAAAUCAUUAUCCCAAGUAAACUGAAAACUGCUUGAUAGAAGAAAGGCCAAGGCUAAUGAUGAGUAAAAUUGGCUUCAGUUAAAGAUCGGGCAUCCUUGAACUAUCUGAAGAACACUCUAUUUUCUAUAAAUGGCAUCUGGAUGAAAAAUGAGACCUAAUCUGUUGGCCAGGGUCCGAGGAGGCUGCUCUGAAGAUGUUUGCUUCAGUGGUGCCCCAUAUAGUAACCAACUUAACUAGCCUUAGAUUUAAAUGAUCAAAGUUAGGGUUUACAUAGAAAACAAUGAUAAGGAAAACAUAGUACUUGGUGAUUAUGUAGUGGGGAUGCAAGUGUGCUGGAAGGAGAGGAAUGGGGAGCAGUUGGAGGGAAGAGCAAGUGAGAAUUACCUCGGAGUUAGAGUCGUAUGACCCUCCUAGCCUAUGGCAGGGACUGGCAACGUCUGUUUCCAUGAAGUCUCCAGAGUUUCCCUGGAGAGAUCCCCUCCUGCAGAAGAAGAGGCAUAGUUCUGUGUAGAGCAUGGUGUCCACCACUUGGCGAUGUUCCUGGUCCAUCCCCUGCACAGUCCAUCUCUAAAAUGAAUGAGGAUCCCCUGCACAGUCCAUCUCUAAAAUGAAUGAGGAUCAAGGUUUUCAAGUUAAAAACAAUAACAAAAACAAAAUUAAAAAAUCGGAAGGAAUUCUUGUAAUGAAAUCUCUGAAACACUUUGGGGAAUAAAGCAGCAUUUCUUGAGCGUCCCUCUUACAAAAUAUGGCUCAAAAGGAGAGAGGAACUAUUUCCUUUCUCAGGGUAAUAUGCUCUGCACUUACAGCUAUGUCAGAGGCAGGAGUGGAUGUUCUUAGGGGAAACAGCAGCACCUGGUGGGAAAGUGAUAACUCACCAGGGUCCUAUAGGUACUUAGGAAUUCCAUGGAGCAGUAACAGAGGAAACCAGCAGAAAAUUGACUUGCUUGUGAGAACAAGUUAUUCAUCUCCUUGGAGAUCCCAGCAAUGUUUGUCUGGGGAGGGGAACAGACUUUUUAGAGGAUUAGAUAUCAGAAUCAAUGCAAUUGCCUUUAUUUUUAUUACUAUAAUCCCACAUGUACCACAGUCUCUUAAAGCAUAAAUAAUUUUCAGUUUCAGGUAAAUCUUUUUUUUUUUUUUUAGGGCCACACCCACAGUGUAUGGAGGUUCCCAGGCUAUGGGUUGAAUUGGAGCUGUAGCUGAUGCCCUAUGCCUCAGCCACAGUAAUGUCAGAUCCAGGCCUCCUCUGUGACCUACACCACAGCUCAUGGCAACACUGGAUCCUUAACCCACUGAGUGAGGCCAGGGAUUGAACCUGCAUCCUCAGGUUCAUUUCCACUGCAUCACAAGGGGAACCCCCUAAGAUUUUUUAUGAAGAAGAAAAUUCUAGAAAUUUAUUUUGAGCAGUCACUGAAAAAGGCAAAACAGAGAUUGGAAUGAGCUCUCAUGGAUGCUUUUGGGACGUCUGCAUGAUCUUGCUUUCUUAAAGGCAACCACGACUUUCCUUAAGUAUUUGCAAGCAGAAAACACAUACGGAGAGAUCUAGAGAUCUGGCUCCUAUUUAGCCAACAUAACUAUUAAAGCAUUUUCACCAUCCUUAGUAUCAUGAGCAUUUAAUUAAGUACUUAGCAUGUGCCAAGCUUUAUACUACAUGAUCUUUUUAUUCAUUGAUUUGAGUCUCCAAACAACCCAAUGAAUAAAGUGUUUUAAUUCCAUUUUUCAAAUGAGAAAAUUACAAAUAAGUAAUAUUUAGAUGUUCACAGCUAUGAUAAGCGGCAGAGCAAGGAUCUGAUCUCAGGUAGUCUGACCAUGGUGACUGUCUUAUUCAUGAAGGCUUUAUCCUGCCUCCUAGCAGCUCCUGGUUAUUGAAUUCCACGUACUGUAUAUGUCUACCUGAGAGGAAUGGUGGAAUUCAUUCUUCUUGUUCUAUAUUUUCCUGGUUAAGGGAUUCUGCUAUUGUCUCUCAAAGAAAAGUUGGAGCCAAGUUGUUUAUGGACUUGCUUCAAGU
rnacentral:lncRNA from 1 species